rnacentral:lncRNA from 1 species
GAAGUAGGAAAUACCCCUGCCAAAUUUAAGGAUGACAUCAAACCAGUGCCAUACAGAAGGUCCUGAACAGACUGAAUGAAUGAACCUUGUGAAACCAAGCAAUUUCAAAUGCCAAGUACUCGAGGGAAGGAGAAGCCCCUGCAAUGUUGUGUUAGGCACAGCACUGCUAACUGGUCAAUGAAAAUGGCUCUCCUGGACUCUGGGUAUGUGUACAGAAUGAGUAUGAGAGGCUGGAGAGCAGCUCCAAGGGAAGAGAUCUGGGGGUUCUGAGUGAUGAAAGUUGAACAAAAAUCAGCAGUGAGCCCUGGACAGCCAAAAGGGCCAAGCACAUCUUGAGCCAGUGUAGUUGAGUCAGAAGGUUCAACUUCUACUACCAUACCACUGCCUGCUUCUGACAUCAUGGGCAACAUGACAAAAUAGGAGGUUAAUAUCAUUUAAAAAUAAUGCAGGAGAUAUUUAAAGCACAUCAGAAGUACAGAGGACUCUUUUUGCAAGUUGAUACCUUCAAAGAAUCCCAAAUCCCUCAAAAGUGAAUUAUAUGGUAUAAAUAAGAUAACCUAUGCAGCCUUAUUGAAAAAAGAAGAAAUAAACUGUCGUGUCUGCAUCUCCUUCUGUCCCGUGAAAGUCUCUGGGAAAGCUGGUGCCAUUAGUUUCAUUAUAUGGAUGGUGAAGUUGAUCUUUAAUAGAUCAGUUGCUCUUCACAGAGCAGCAGCUUUUUCUCUGUUUUACCCCCUCCUCAGAAAAUCUGAGAUGUGAAUAUUUGGAUUAUGAAACAGGCUUGUGAUACAUGGACUGUAGUAAAGCAAAAUAUUUUCCAUAAAAUUUUGUUGUAUGUACUUUUAUUUUUUUUCAACAG